rnacentral:rRNA from 1 species
CCUACGGGAGGCAGCAGUGAGGAAUAUUGGUCAAUGGGCGAGAGCCUGAACCAGCCAAGUCGCGUGAGGGAGUACUGCCCUAUGGGUUGUAAACCUCUUUUGUCGGGGAGCAAAAGCCGGACGUGUCCGGCUGUGAGCGUACCCGAAGAAAAAGCAUCGGCUAACUCCGUGCCAGCAGCCGCGGUAAUACGGAGGAUGCGAGCGUUAUCCGGAUUUAUUGGGGUUAAAGGGUGCGCAGGCGGAUUUUUAAGUCAGCGGUCAAAUCGUGGGGCUCAACCCCAUCCAGCCGUUGAAACUGGGGAUCUAGAGUGUGCGAGAGGUAUGCGGAAUGCGUGGUGUAGCGGUGAAAUGCAUAGAUAUCACGCAGAACCCUGAUUGCGAAGGCAGCAUACCGGUGCACAACUGACGCUCAGGCACGAAAGCGUGGGUAUCGAACAGGAUUAGAUACCCCAGUAGUC